GGGGAGCGGCGACGCGCAUGCGCAGUCCUCGGGCUGGCCCGGCGCACCUUUUCUCGCUGCAGCCACAUUGUGAGCGCUCGGCCCUGCAGAUAACCGCCGGCUCCCCGCCCCGCCCCCGCCCUCGCCCACUCCGCCCACUCCCGGGCGCCCAGGAUCCCACACUCUGCCCUUCCCAGCCCAGCCCAUUUGGGUUCCCAAGAACUGCAGUCCAGCCAGCGGCUCAUCCACCGCCCAGCUCCAUGGGAAGAUUCGGCUCAGCCAGACCCAAGCCAACGGCAGCUGCUUGGAAACGCGGGCUCUGGGCUUUCCCAGAGCAGUGGCCGCCCGCCCGACCCAGGCCCCGGGCGCUUUCCCACCGGCCCUCAGGUCUGGUCAGCAGGAGCUUUGCCGAUGUCGCCUGCAAGCCUGAUUAA
rnacentral:lncRNA from 1 species